rnacentral:rRNA from 1 species
AUGGCUGAUAGACUAAAACGUUGUGGAUGGCCCAACUGCCACUUAUGCCCUCUUUGCAAACAAGUGCAGGAAUCAGCAGCCCAUCUACUUUUCCAAUGCAGGUACACCGUCAGGGUCUGGGGCAUGCUCAAGAGUUGGCUUGGGCUACAUGAUGCCCACCCAACGGAGUGGGUGGCAAUGGAGUCAGUUGAGGUUUGGUGGAGGCAUAAUGCUACACACAUGACCCAAUCACGUCGUCCACUUAUCUCUUUGAUGUUGUUGGUCUCUUGGGAAAUUUGGAAGGAACGAAACACCCGGGUUUUUCGUACCACCGCGGUUCCGGUGGGAGUGUUGGUCGCCAAGAUAAAGGAGGAAUGUUCACUUUGGAGCCUCGCGGGCGCAAAGCAUUUGUGUAAUAUAAUGCCGUGA